GUUCCUGUGUCGUUUAAGUCUUACCCUAUAGUUACUGCAGUCCAUUCAUGCCAACUGGGAGUAUAUUGGGGUUAAGUGUCUUCCUGACGAAUUUUUAUUGUCAAGUCAGGUCUGCCUAAAUGUCUGUUUUUACGGAUUUUUGACAAAACGGUGACCUAGCUUUUACAGACUAGUUUCCUAUUGGCCAUAUUAUACCUCUUUGUGUCCCUAUACCACCUAUGCAUGCAUUUACGAUAAUAGUUUAUACCUACAAUGCCUACCAAUUACGUAGUGGCCAUUAAAAGAUGCCCAUCCCCACCUGAUUUUGGCUAUUUUUCACGUUUUUGCGAUUUUGAACUCU
rnacentral:lncRNA from 1 species